rnacentral:rRNA from 1 species
UACGAAGGGGGCUAGCGUUGCUCGGAAUCACUGGGCGUAAAGCGCACGUAGGCGGCUUUCUAAGUCAGGGGUGAAAUCCUGGAGCUCAACUCCAGAACUGCCUUUGAUACUGGAGAGCUUGAGUCCGGGAGAGGUGAGUGGAACUCCGAGUGUAGAGGUGAAAUUCGUAGAUAUUCGGAAGAACACCAGUGGCGAGGGCGGCUCACUGGCCCGGUACUGACGCUGAGGUGCGAAAGCGUGGGGAGCAAACAGG